UCUUAGGGCAGGCUGUAAUCGAACAAAGCUUGAAGGGGGAGAUCGAGCGGCCAGGCGGUGGCCAGAUCCGACCACAACUGGCAACCAACAUCACGCUAUGGUCGCCAGCGCCGUCGUCGAAGGGCGGGCUUCUUCCACCUCGACAGACAUGCUCACGCGCCAGGAGAGGAGAGGGGGUCUUCUGCUUCUUCCUCGCUCAGCACCCCUCUCACUACACCAUGGAUCGACCUUCCUCCACUCCCACAGAUGCCAUGGACCGAGCUCGAUCCCCUCAAGAUUGAGACCUCCACGUGCUUCCGCUUGGCCGCGUCACUCCACCUCAACAUCUCCUCGGGAAGGAACAAGUGCUACCGUCGAUCCGAAGCUCGUGCCAGGGGAAGGGAUUCCCUCACUGCCUUCUAAUUCGAGUUAGUAGCCAACAUUUUCAGUGGCGGCGACUGGUGUGUGUGUGUCGUCGACUACAACCUCCUCUCCGGAAAGUAAGAUCUCGGUGUGGAAGGUUUGGGCCCCCCACGGUGCAAGUUCUUUGCGUGGCUUGUCCUUCAAAAUAGGGUUUGGACAUCGGAUCGACUGAUAUGUCGGGGCUGGCCAAACUGUGGUCUAUGUCCUCUUUGUAAGCAAUGCCAAGAGUGAGCUGCCCAUCUCCUUUUCCAAUGCCGCUACACCACCCGCAUUUGGAAUCAUAUUCUUCCGUGGCUUGGAAUGCAUCACAUCUCUACGGCGGCUUGGCAAACAGUGACCUCGGUGAGAGCAUGGUGGAACAACAACCUUCAGAUUCGCCUUGGAUCCCCUAAAGCGCUCGCCUCCCCGAUGAUGCUCAUCUCAUGGGAGAUAUGGACGGAGCGUAAUGCCAGGGUCUUCAGAAACACGGCCAUCCCUUCCACGGUUCUUAUCAGUAAGAUCAAAGCGAAGGUGUCUCUUUGGGCGUUGGCGGGUGCGAAGCACAUGAGUAUUGUAAUGCCGCGAGAGUAGACCCCUUAUUGUUUUUUCUUUUGGCCGCUUUGUGGCAUUUGUUUGAAACUUCCUUCUUAAUCAAUGAAAUGGCAAAUCUUUUGCCUUGUUUCAAAAAAAAAA